rnacentral:rRNA from 1 species
AGUGAACGCUGGCGGUAGGCCUGACACAUGCAAGUCGAACGGCAGCACAGUAAGAGCUUGCUCUUACGGGUGGCGAGUGGCGGACGGGUGAGGAAUACAUCGGAAUCUACUUUUUCGUGGGGGAUAACGUAGGGAAACUUACGCUAAUACCGCAUACGACCUACGGGUGAAAGCAGGGGAUCUUCGGACCUUGCGCGAUUGAAUGAGCCGAUGUCGGAUUAGCUAGUUGGCGGGGUAAAGGCCCACCAAGGCGACGACCCGUAGCUGGUCUGAGAGGAUGAUCAGCCACACUGGAACUGAGACACGGUCCAGACUCCUACGGGAGGCAGCAGUGGGGAAUAUUGGACAAUGGGCGCAAGCCUGAUCCAGCCAUACCGCGUGGGUGAAGAAGGCCUUCGGGUUGUAAAGCCCUUUUGUUGGGAAAGAAAAGCAGCAGGUUAAUACCCCGCUGUUCUGACGGUACCCAAAGAAUAAGCACCGGCUAACUUCGUG